rnacentral:rRNA from 1 species
ACGGAGGAUGCAAGCGUUAUCCGGAUUUAUUAGGUUUAAAGGGUGCGUAGGCGGAGACUUAAGUCAGGGGUAAAAGGCAAUAGCUUAACUAAUGUAAGCCAUUGAUACUGGGUUUCUUGAGUUCGGUAGAGGUAGGCGGAAUGUGUUGUGUAGCGGUGAAAUGCAUAGAUAUGACACAGAACGCCGAUCGCGAAGGCAGCUUACGAUAUUGUUACUGACGCUGAUGCACGAAAGCGUGGGGAUCAAACAG